UCGCAGAAAUAAUCAAGAGAAGUAGUACAUGGUGGAGAGAUGGGUUCAGCCUUGGCAACAGAGGGAUCAAAUGAAUAUAAUUCAAGGAAGAAAGACAAGCUUGGUGAACCAAUAGCAGCUCCACGACGGCUUGUUUCUUCUUUGUGGAAAGAUCAGCUAUUGCUUCCAAUGAUGAAGUGAAAUCAUAGGAAAGGUACUUAAGUUCACUAUUAU